ACCCCUGUGAGAAUGCCCUACAGUUCCCUGCCCGGGAACAAGGAGCUGGUAUCAGGCACAAAUAUUUUUAAGCCCACGACACCUUGCUUAGCCACACCCCCAAGGGAACUCAGCAGUGACAGACAUUAAGCCAUAAGUGAAAACUUGACUUAGUCAAAGCUAAGAGGGCCGGUAAAACUCGUGCCAGCCACCGCGGUUAUACGAGAGGCCCAAGUUGAUAGACUCCGGCGUAAAGAGUGGUUAAGACAAAUUUUUAAACUAAAGCCGAAUGCCCUCAGGGCUGUUAUACGCUCCCGAAGGUAAGAAGCCCAAUCACGAAAGUGGCUUUAUAUGAGCUGAACCCACGAAAGCUAUGAUACAAACUGGGAUUAGAUACCCCACUAUGCCUAGCCGUAAACAUUGAUAGUACUAUACAACUACUAUCCGCCUGGGAACUACGAGCACCAGCUUGAAACCCAAAGGACUUGGCGGUGCUUUAGACCCACCUAGAGGAGCCUGUUCUAGAACCGAUAACCCCCGUUCAACCUCACCCUUCCUUGUUUUUCCC
rnacentral:rRNA from 1 species